UUUCCGUAGGUGAACCUGCGGAAGGAUCAUUAACGAGAAAAAGGCGCUUGCGCCGCUCUCUCAAACCUUUGCGUACCCAAUCUUGUCUCUUGCGGGGGGUCCGCCCCCCGCGAGGAACCAAAACAGUCGUCUGAUGUUGUCAGAAUCUUACAAACAAAAAAAACAACUUUCAACAAUGGAUCUCUUGGCUCCGGCAUCGAUGAAGAACGCAGC
rnacentral:misc_RNA from 1 species